rnacentral:rRNA from 1 species
UACGUAGGGUGCAGGCGUUAAUCGGAAUUACUGGGCGUAAAGCGUGCGCAGGCGGUUUGCUAAGACAGGUGUGAAAUCCCCGGGCUUAACCUGGGAACUGCGCUUGUUACUGGCAGGCUUGAGUGUGGCAGAGGGGGGUGGAAUUCCACGUGUAGCAGUGAAAUGCGUAGAUAUGUGGAGGAACACCGAUGGCGAAGGCAGCCCCCUGGGCUAAGAUUGACGCUCAUGCACGAAAGCGUGGGGAGCAAACAGG